AACGAACGCUGGCGGCAGGCCUAAUACAUGCAAGACGAACGGUAAGUUGAGUAGCAAUACUUAGCCAAGAGUGUCGUACGGGUGCGUAACACGUAUGCAACCUACCCUAUACAGGAGGAUAGCCUAGGGAAACCUGGAUUAACCCUUCAUAGUAUUAUUGGAUGGCAUCAUUUGAUAAUUAAAACUGAGGUGGUAUAGGAUGGGCAUGCGUCUGAUUAGUUAGUUGGCGGGGUAAUGGCCCACCAAGACGAUGAUCAGUAGGGGUUCUGAGAGGAAGAUCCCCCACACUGGCACUGAGAUACGGGCCAGACUCCUACGGGAGCAGCAGUAGGGAAUAUUGGUCAAUGGAUGCAAGUCUGAACCAGCCAUGCCGCGUGCAGGAAGAAGGCCUUCUGGGUUGUAAACUGCUUUUGCCGAGGGAUAAAUUCCAUGCGUGGAAACUGAAGUACCUGGUGAAUAAGCCACGGCUAACUACGUGCCAGCAGCCGCGGUAAU
rnacentral:rRNA from 1 species